rnacentral:rRNA from 1 species
GACGAACGCUGGCGGCGUGCUUAACACAUGCAAGUCGAGCGGUAAGGCCCUUCGGGGUACACGAGCGGCGAACGGGUGAGUAACACGUGGGUGACCUGCCCUCAGCUCUGGGAUAAGCCUGGGAAACCGGGUCUAAUACCGGAUAUGACUCCAUGACGCAUGUUGUGGGGUGGAAAGCCUUGUGCGGCUGAGGAUGGGCCCGCGGCCUAUCAGCUUGUUGGUGGGGUGAUGGCCUACCAAGGCGACGACGGGUAGCCGGCCUGAGAGGGCGACCGGCCACACUGGGACUGAGACACGGCCCAGACUCCUACGGGAGGCAGCAGUGGGGAAUCUUGCGCAAGUGGGCGAAAGCCUGACGCAGCGACGCCGCGUGAGGAUGAC